ACCUUCUCAGGAUCAUACCUGGAGAGUUUCCAGUACUUUACCAUUUUCAGCUAUAGGAGGGAAAGACAAGCAGAGACAUACCCAUUCCAUUUCUAGCUUGGGCAUUGGUUAGCAAGUGGAAGGCAAUCUGCAACAAGU